rnacentral:miRNA from 1 species
GUGCGGACUAGCCUACAGCCGGC